AAGUGGGGAAAGGUUCCAUAUGAACAGCGGUUGGAUAUGGGUAAGCCGAUCCUAAGCCAUAGGGAAGUUCCGUUUCAAAGGGGCACUAAUCGCCCCGUAUGGCGAAAGGGAAGCCGGUCAAUAUUCCGGCGCCUGGAUGUGGGUUUUACGCGGCAACGCAAUCGAAAGCGGAGACGAGGGCGGGGGCCCUGGGUAGAGUUCUCUUUUCUUCUUAACAGUCUAGUGACCCUGGAAUCGGUUUGUCCGGAGAUAGGGUUCAACGGCUGGAAGAGCCCAGCACUUCUUCUGGGUGCGGUGCGCUCCCGACCUCCCUUGAGAAUCCGCUGGCGGGAAUAAUUCUCACGCCAGAGCGUACUCAUAUCCGCAGC
rnacentral:rRNA from 1 species